rnacentral:ncRNA from 19 species
GACUCUUAGUCGGGGUGCUAUUGCGUUAGCUGAGAUGAUACCCGUGAACCUGAUGCAGUUAAUACUGACGUAGGAAACUAGCAGUCAAUAUUG